UACGAAGGGGGCUAGCGUUGCUCGGAAUCACUGGGCGUAAAGCGCACGUAGGCGGACUCUUAAGUCGGUGGUGAAAUCCUGGAGCUCAACUCCAGAACUGCCUUCGAUACUGAGAGUCUUGAGUCCGGGAGGGGUGAGUGGAACUGCGAGUGUAGAGGUGAAAUUCGUAGAUAUUCGCAAGAACACCAGUGGCGAAGGCGGCUCACUGGCCCGGUACUGACGCUGAGGUGCGAAAGCGUGGGGAGCAAACAGG
rnacentral:rRNA from 1 species